rnacentral:rRNA from 1 species
UGCCGGUGAUAAACCGGAGGAAGGUGGGGACGACGUCAGAUCAUCAUGCCCCUUAUGACCUGGGCAACACACGUGCUACAAUGGGAAGUACAACGAGUCGCAAACCGGCGACGGUAAGCUAAUCUCUUAAAACUUCUCUCAGUUCGGACUGGAGUCUGCAACUCGACUCCACGAAGGCGGAAUCGCUAGUAAUCGCGAAUCAGCAUGUCGCGGUGAAUACGUUCCCGGGUCUUGUACACACCGCCCGUCAAAUCAUGGGAGUCGGAAGUACCCAAAGUCGCUUGGCUAACUUUUAGAGGCCGGUGCCUAAGGUAAAAUCGAUGACUGGGAUUAAGUCGUAACAAGGUAGCCGUAGGAGAACCUGCGGCUGGAUCACCUCCUUUCUAAGGA